UUGUCAUAAUCCACAUCAGUUUUAGAGUUAUAUACAGGUUUGAAUUUCUCUGUUCAAGGAAUGUUAGAUUCUUUCCUCUCCUCCUUUCCCUUCUUCCUUUCUAUAAUUCUCACUAUGAAAAUUUUUUUCUUGAGAAGUUUUUUCUUUAUCUCUACUGUGGCUCUCACUUUUUUCUAAUUAAUAGCCGAAUUAAAUACAAUUAACAACGUAGUACUCAUACUAAGUAAAACCCUACUCCCUUUUAAUCCUUAUACAGAAUGGGACUUGACAAAUGUGAUUUAUUUUGAAUAAGCAAUGAUAAGAAUUUUCACUUAAAAAUUAAGGAUGCACUUCAAUUUCAUUUCAUUGAGCAAAUGAACAAUAGAAUGUUGGAAUAAUUAGGCCGCUUUUGCCAACUCUAUAGAACAACUGUUACUUAGGUGACAUGUUUCCCUGACUUUGUUUUUUUGGUCCUUACCCAGACAAUUAUCAGCUUUCCAGUUUUCUAUGGAUAUGAAGAUUUACUCCUAGUCAUCAGUGGGACCCCAUGAAGUCAGCCAGAAAGCCUAUAUCCAACUUAUGUACCUUUGUAAAUUUGUCUGGAUUUUGAAUGUCAGGAAAAAAGCAGAAAAAUGGGAGAAAAUAUAUUGCCCAAAAAUUAAGACAACGUGUACCUCUUUGCAGUUACAUCUAGAAAGUUGGUUGGAGUCUGAAGUCAUAUUUAGAUAUGAGUUGGGAAUGAAGCACUAAAGCAUUGGGUAAGAAUACUAAAUCUGUAGGCUUUUUUCUUUCAUAAUUAAAAUUCAUACCCAGGAUGAAGUUUCGAUUGGUACACAAUUAAAACUAUACGUUUUACAUAUAAACAAAGGUUAAAAGCUAUAGGAUAGAACUUGUGUUUUCUCCAUUUACUUUAUAAAUUUUGUUUGCAUUGGAUUUUUUUCCAAGUAGCCUAUCAUGCAAAUUACCAUGGCAUCUUACCCUGACCACCAGUAAUUGAACUCUUAGUUUUUCCUUCAGAAAAUAGCACGAAUUAAACAGCUCUGUCAAAUAUGGGUCUGUAGCUUGUUUACAGAUGAAUAGUGACUUUUCACGUAAAUCUAUGUAGUUGUCAUUAACUCUUUUU
rnacentral:lncRNA from 1 species